rnacentral:rRNA from 1 species
GUAGGUGGCAAGCGUUGUCCGGAAUUAUUGGGCGUAAAGCGCGCGCAGGGCGGUCCUUUAAGUCUGGGUGUGAAAGCCCACGGGCUCAACCGUGGAGGGUCAUUGGAAACUGGGGGACUUGAGUACAGAAGAGGAAAGCGGAAUUCCAAGUGUAGCGGUGAAAUGCGUAGAGAUUUGGAGGAACACCAGUGGCGAAGGCGGCUUUCUGGUCUGUAACUGACGCUGAGGCGCGAAAGCGUGGGGAGCAAACAGGAUUAGAUACCCUGGUAGUCCACGCCGUAAACGAUGAGUGCUAAGUGUUAGGGGGGUUUCCGCCCCUUAGUGCUGCAGCUAACGCAUUAAGCACUCCGCCUGGGGAGUACGGCCGCAAAGGCUG